rnacentral:rRNA from 1 species
GCCAGACUCCUACGGGAGGCAGCAGUGGGGAAUAUUGGGCAAUGGGCGCAAGCCUGACCCAGCAACGCCGCGUGAAGGAAGAAGGCUUUCGGGUUGUAAACUUCUUUUCUGAGGGACGAAGAAAGUGACGGUACCUCAGGAAUAAGCCACGGCUAACUACGUGCCAGCAGCCGCGGUAAUACGUAGGUGGCAAGCGUUAUCCGGAUUUAUUGGGUGUAAAGGGCGUGUAGGCGGGAAAGCAAGUCAGAUGUGAAAACUCAGGGCUCAACCCUGAGCCUGCAUUUGAAACUGGUUUUCUAGAGUUGGAGAGAAGUAUGCGGAAUUCGUGGUGUAGCGGUGAAAUGCAUAGAUAUCACGAAGAACUCCGAUUGCGAAGGCAGCAUACCGGCUCCAUACUGACGCUGAGGCACGAAAGCGUGGGGAUCGAACAGGAUUAGAUACCCGAGUA